CACAUAUGCGCUUGGACACGGAUAGUCUGCUUGCUCUCAAUGGGUGUUCAACAGUCUACGCGCGCUCGUAACUUGCUCAUGAGGCAAGUUGCUGUUGUGCUGGAGCUGAGAAGAGGUCUGCUGCCUGCAAUGGGUCCAUCUCUCUCAAGUUAUAGCAGUAUUAUAGCUCUCAAAGUUCAAGAAAAGUAUGGUGGAAGCUGUUGCCAAGGUUCCGACCAGAAAAGACAGCCAGUAUAAAAGGGUCCACGCCACUGAUCUCUACUACAGGGGAUGAACAGCACAUCGAGCGCCCUCGACUGAAGCCGGCCUUGUCCCGGAAGUUGGGGCUUCACAACUUUGCGGCAGCACUUUGUUGCACGGCCUGUGGAGACAAGGUUCCUUAGACAUGGCCAUGGCCCUCAAGGAAGAUGCCGAGGCCACAGGCAGUUCCUCCAGUGACCGUGAAAAGGUCCCCUGGGGCAGAAGUCUGGUUUGGCACCCCCACCUUUCUCCUGCAGCUUUUCUUUCUGCUUAGCUAACCAGCAGCAAGUUUAUCCUUGCAAGCGUUUGGAGUCAAGAACAACUUUCAGCAGGAAGAAGUGCAAGACGAGUGAUUGAAGAAAAUAAAGUUGCU